rnacentral:rRNA from 1 species
UGGGGAAUAUUGGACAAUGGGCGAAAGCCUGAUCCAGCCAUGCCGCGUGUGUGAAGAAGGUCUUCGGAUUGUAAAGCACUUUAAGUUGGGAGGAAGGGCACUUACCUAAUACGUAUCUGUUUUGACGUUACCGACAGAAUAAGCACCGGCUAACUCUGUGCCAGCAGCCGCGGUAAUACAGAGGGUGCAAGCGUUAAUCGGAAUUACUGGGCGUAAAGCGCGCGUAGGUGGUUUGUUAAGUUGGAUGUGAAAUCCCCGGGCUCAACCUGGGAACUGCAUUCAAAACUGACAAGCUAGAGUAUGGUAGAGGGUGGUGGAAUUUCCUGUGUAGCGGUGAAAUGCGUAGAUAUAGGAAGGAACACCAGUGGCGAAGGCGACCACCUGGACUGAUACUGACACUGAGGUGCGAAAGCGUGGGGAGCAAACAGGAUUAGAUACCCAAGUAGUCCCUGAGCGGGCUGGCAAGGCGCAU